GUCUGCAGGAAAUUUUCAUUAAAUUGUGUUUUUACAGACAGUUGACAAUGCUGAGAUUUUACUUCUUGCGUUUGAGAAAGCAGUGAUUUGCAAUUUUUUUUCAAUUAAGUAUUAUAUCAAUUGACUUAAUUGUAAAUCUGAAUAUUCUUCCUCUGAAAAACAAGAACAUAUUUAGGAAAUUCUACUUUCUCUUUACGUCAGAAGUUUAUUGUACAUAAAAUUUCAAGGUUGGCAAAAAGAAGACCAGAGAUACCAAAAUUAGGGGAUACUUUGUGAAUGAGGACUUAGCCCUCAACCCAAGAUGAGCUAUGGAUCUCUAGAUUUUUGAGAAGGUUUGUGGUUCAGUUUGAGGUUGGUUUUGGUUUUGUUUGUUUUGUUUGUUUUUCUUUGUUUGUUUAGGUUUUUGGUUUUGCUUUUCGGGUUUUUUGGUUGGUUGGUUAGUUGGAUUUUUGUCUGAAAAAGGAAAAAGGUUGCCAAGUAACACACAUUUUAAAAUAGCAUUAUAAGGGAAGCUUACAUUCUUGACAGUUAUAUUUUGGAUGCUAUAACCACAUGUACUACAAGGAAUUACACUAGAAAGUUGGGAUUGCUCCAUAAAGUGACCAGGAAGCUGAAAGUAGAGCUACUUCAACCACAACUCUGUUUGCCAUAUUUUGUCCCUGUAGCAAAUGCAGCCACCACAAAAACAUACAAAAAGGUAUGAAUUCAGUUAAGGCACUAGAGAAGAGAGCUGAAUAUGAAGAAGGUGGGAGGAUGAAGCGGAAGGGGAAAUAAAAUACAUUCUUUUUGUGCUUCCAUAAUGUGGGACGAUAUGGGAUUUCCUGAAGCACAGUGCCUUGCAGUUGUUUCUCUUCUGCUUUCUAUUGUUUAGAACUGACUGUAGAUAUUCAGUACAUGACUUUUGCCUCUCCCUCCUCUCCCAGUAAAACCAAAUAAACAUGAAAAAAAAGCAAAGCCUCUAGAAUAAACAGCACAAGUAAAUAUGAAAAUUCAGAUUUGGUACAGGUUUAUAAACAUUACUAUUUUGCAUAUUUAGCGCUUGAUCUCAUUCAAGUAAAACAGUUUCAUCAAUAAUACUAGAGAUUGGGAUGUAAGUGUAAUUCUGUUCUAUAGCUGUUAGCUAUAGGUGCAUAUUAUAAGUGCAUGUUGAGGUUUUUAGUUUUGUUUUUUUUUUCUUUAUAAAUUUCUAAUCUGACUUUCCAGAUACCUUGGUAUCCAUCUUGUGAUUGCCAAGUGCAGCUCUGAACCAAAUUCUGUCAUUCAUAUGACUAUUUUCAUGCAGUGCCCUUUGGUUAAGACAGUGCAAACCGCUAUGUUUUUAGCAGAAGCCAUUAGACUGACCUGACCUCUGACACAUCACUGGCUUUCUCCUUGCAAAGGUGAUCCAGCUACAUCUUUGUUGGUGUUAAUUUUUCAUUUACAGUGCUUUUGGUCAAAAUGCCUUGAUGUUGCAUUAAUCUUGAUUAAUGCUAUUUAAAAUAUAUAUACUAAGUUCAACAAUUGUGUAUUAAAAAAGGGUGAUUUCUUCUAUUGUGUGACAUUGGAUAUAUCUCCUUGAAUUAACAGGACUUCAAAAUGGUGCACCACCGCUUGUGUAACAUUAUAUAAAAAAGAAGAAAAAGGAAAAAAAAGUCUUUCUGAUUGUGAGAAUAAAAAUUCAGCUUGAUGAAAAUGCUCUUGCCACAGUCUGAAAUACAAGUUACGCUGGUAUCAGUGUGUGAGGUGUACAACUCUGGUAAGGAAAAGCUUGUAGUCUUUCCUCCCAUCCUCUUUUCCCCAUUUUACUUAUGUUCUCGCAGCAUUUCCUAUGCACUUUUGUUUCAGUUUUGAAAGCAGCAUGCUAUAAAAGCUCACCCCAAUUGAAAAGAUACCUGUAUACAUACAGUGUGAAAGGAAGGCCUUCUCUUCCUGCUAGACCUAAUCUGAUACAUGCUACCAGAAAACCCCAAACCUACAAAGAGUUUCAUCACCUACAAACAGUUAUUAAAAUCAAAAUUUACAAAAAAGUAACAGCAAGUUUUCCUGCAGUAGUCUGGGGAAAACCCAAACCAAGCCAAAAAUCCAAUCUGAAACAAAACUUCAACAACAACAACAAAACUCACUGAAACCAAACAUGCCAGGACACUGGGCUUGAUCAAUUCCCCCUUUGUAGACGGGCUCGUGCAGAUGGGGAAUCUGUAAUUCAAACCUGGACAAGCUGCGACCUCUUUUGGUCAAUUAACAAAGUGAGCACAAAGACAAAAGAAUACUGAAAAGCCUUGGUAGUCAUCAAUCCGGAAGCAAGGCUGAUCUCUCUUCUAAAGCAUCUUUAAUUUCCUGAAGAAAAGUGUCUACUCUUACACCAUAUUAUUCACAAACAAAACCAGAUAAUUUUUAUCUUGCUAUGUACAAUGCUACUUUCAAGAUGCUAUUUGCAAGGUAUAAGUACUGAAUUAAGAACAGAGAAAAUUGAAUAGGUGAUUCUAAUUAUCUAAAAAAAAAUUGACUUGUAAAAAGUGCAGCUUUCAAGAUUAACAGUAUCAUCGCCAGUACUUUGAGCAAUAACAUAUCUACUUCUCUCUUCCACUUGAAUUUUGACACAUUUGAGCAGCUGAUGAGUAGUUGGAAGAUCAGCUUCAUUGUUAAUGAUUAAGGAGUUGAAAGCAGAACAGUAGCCUGGCUCAUCCUUCCCACGGCAGAACAUAUUUGUAUAAGCCAGUAUCUGUGAGCAUUGAUGUUUUUAUUUCUCAUGAGGAGCAAGCUUUUGUGACUGAAACACCAUAUAUUUGUCUAUGUAUACAUCUCACCAUCCUCUUCCUCAUGAGAAUGUAGUAGAGCUUCAGAAAGAAUGUUUACAAAAUUUGGCAUUGCCAAUUCAGGUUUUCUCAAUCAAAGUUAAGCCAAGUUAAUAGGGGGAGCAAAAUAUGCCUAGCGAAAUGGGAAGAGAAUUUGCAGUGGCCUGAAGACAAAUACAUGCAUUGUGCAAAAUCCACAUAGAAUUUUGAUGUUGGGAAUUUGGGGGGAUAGAUUGUUUAUCUUUCUGUCCUAGAUUUGUGAGGACAUUGCAGUGGAAACUGCUUUCUUAUAUAUGGAAGGAAAAGUUUCAAGAGUACAGAGAAUACUUAAAAAAAAAAAAAAAAAGUUAAGGGAGGCACAUCCACGAAGAUGGGGCAAGAUACGGACCGAGUCCCUGUCCAGAGACCUACAUCUUGGCAAACUUGGCUGGGGUGCUUAAGUGUGUGGGUGUGGUCAUGCACAUACAUUUCCCCCCAGACUUCCUUGGAAGCACACCUGUCAUGUGAGCUGUACACGGGUGACAAGGUAAGCUCCGAACCUGCGGGCGGGCGGGCAUGUGCGAGCCCGAGCACGUGAGCACCUUCGCCAGGGCCGGGGCGCUCAGCCCCAAGAUGGACAGGAUUGUAGCUAGGAGUCCAAAAAGGGGCGCUGUUCGCGAGCUUCUCUCGCCGUUCUCGGUGCCAAGGAAACACACACGGUCACGGGGAAGCGCACAUACAUAGAGAGACCACUUUUUCUUGAAACCAGAGACACACGACCCAGUCUCCCGCUACAGCCCUACCCCUCACAGCUGAUUUCUAAAACUGCCCAUAAACCCCCGGCAGUGCUGUGUCCCCCGCCUACUCCGUCUGCACCGCACCGCCCUCAUAGCCCUGCGUGACCGAACCCUGGAUCCGGCGAAGGCUGGCGCUCCCUGCCGCGCCGCGCCGCGCCGCGCGUUAUUCAUGGCGCGGGGCGGGCCGGGCCGGACCGAUGACCGUGGCACUAUAUAGGGUGGACGGACGGCACGGAGGAUAGUCGGAGCCUCUGUUGUUUCCUCAGUGGUCAAGAGUCAGGACUCUGGGACUUCAGUCAGUUCUAGAGAGCCUGAGGCUUGCACAGAGAACUGAAAUCAGGAAUGAUACAAAGGAAGGCAUCAGGAAAUACUUUGCAGACCAAAAGGUUAGUUUUUAUUUACUUAGCAGGGAUAGUUGUUGCUAAAAAGUCCACAGGGUAUCUUCUGGCCUUUUUUGCUUUUGCCUUCUAACUUCUAACUUAGUACUAUUUUGCAAUGCUAAACCAUAUGCACUAAUGUAUUCAACAUGUGUCUGCAACAUAUGUACAUACAUAUCAGAACAAGGGAGAAGAGUCUGAAAACUCCAGGCAGAUGAAGUGAAUGGAUUGCUUUCAUUUUCAUUCUAUUCUUAUAUUAUUAGUUUUAUAAAAUUUUAAUUAUUUCAUUGUAUUAAAGUAAUUACUAACCUGCAUAGUACUCUGUAUA